rnacentral:misc_RNA from 1 species
GGCAAUGUCGGAAACAAAAAGGCUCC